CUGGCUCCAUGGGUGAAGGUACAGUUGACAAGGGUCGGGGAGAUUCGAUGGAAGGAUUGGAUUGUUAUAGCAGUCAGGGGUCUUGUCGCAAAGAACAAAUACUCUGGGCAAUUUAUGCAGAAAAUGAACUGAUUGAAAGGAUAUUGGCCUGCUAACAGGAUUACAAGGAAGCCCAAAGAACCAGACCUGGAGAGCUGGGAAGAACAAGGAGGAUGGCACAGGCAAAGCCAAGGCCAGAAUCUCAGGAGAGGCCAGACUCCUGCGAGGCCACCACAGUGACUGUGCCGUUGAACACUGAGCGUCACAGCUUUCACCCCCUCCCAGGAGUGGGCACUGGACACCCCUGUUGACACCAUUGGCUUUGCUGCCCUUGGGAUCUGGAUGUUGCUGACUUUGCUGCUACCCUGGGAAAGAAUUUUCCUCUCUCCUUCCUUCUUUGUGUCAUUGACUUCUGACUCAAAAACCAGAGCAGGAUAAAAAUGAAAAUCCUCGACACAGCCAGAAGGUCCCGAGUGAUGCUUCUUCCAGUUCCCUGGGAGGCAGCCUGGUGUCAAAGAGGGAACAUGAACUCUGGAGUCAUACAGACCUGGCCUGAAACUGAACUCAGCCUCUUCCACCUGUGCAGCCCAGUGCACUUGAUAUGACCUCACCGUGACUCACUUUUCUCCUCUUUAAAAUGGUCGAUGUGAACCAUAACUCACGGGGCUGUGAAGAUUCUGUUUGAAAAAUAAUAAAGCUCCUUGUGUCUGGCGUGGAGACAGGGACAGAUAGAUGGUAGAUACUAAAACAGCACUUCUGUGAAGGGAAGCCCCAAAUACUGUUGUCAGCCUCCCCUCCCAUGAUUUACUCUUAGCUGAUAAAUUCCACUGUUGACAGUUGAGCUGAGGCGUGCUGUCUCUGGGGGAGCUGAUUAAAAAGAAAUACCUUAAAGGGAAAACACAUUAAACUAUGAUCAAUCUAAAUUAUUGUCUUAAUUAAUAAUUAAGCCAUUUAUUGUGCAAGCGGG
rnacentral:lncRNA from 1 species